AUCUGUCCAGCACAAGGCCCAGCGGUUACCCGCAGUGGGGGUGGGGGGCCGCUGGGACUGACGCCAACCAGGUGGGUUUGAGGGCAGGUCACACUUGGUCUGGGGCCAGCCUGACCACUGCACCGCACCCCCCCCCACCCGCCCCGAGCUUGCAGGUUCCCAGGAGCCCCAAGCCCGAGGCCAACCGCCACCCACCCCCACCUACCUCACACAGGACGAUUCCAAAGGAAAACACAUCCACCUUCUCAUCGUAGCUGCGGCCUGGAUGGAGAGAUGGGCUGUCAGCAGGUCUGAGCAGACCUCUGCGGGGUGAGGAUGAGAGCCCUGCCUGGGGGGGUUCCAGGCCCAGCUCGGCCACCCACCAGCUGUGUGACUCUGGACAAGUCAUGGACCACACGGUGACCCCCAAAACUACCCAUGUCAAACCCCUGGAACCUGUGACCAUUACUUCACUGGAAAAAAGGUCUUUGCAAAUAUGGUCAUUAAAAGGAUCUUGAGAUGAGAUAAUCCUGGAUCAUCCGGGGGCGGUCUCUAGGUACCGUUGCAAACAUCCUAAGAGAGACUGAAGAGGAUGACACACAGGGAGAGGCGGCCGUGGCCACGAGCCCGGGAAUGCCAGGGCAGCCACCAGAAGCCAGAAGCCGCAACGAGUGGGUGCUCCCCGGAAAUCCCUGGAGGGAGCGGGGCUCUCCUGGAUUGCAGACUUCUGGCUUCCAGAACUACAAGGGAAUAAAUGUCUGUUGUUUUAAACCA